rnacentral:rRNA from 1 species
CCCUUAGAUGUUCUGGGCCGCACGCGUGCUACACUGAGUGGAUCAGCGGGUCAGGUUGCGCGAAAGUGUUUCCUAAUCUUUAAAUCCGCUCGUGAUGGGGAUUGACGGUUGCAAUUUUCCGUCAUGAACGAGGAAUACCUUGUAAGCGCGGGUCAUCAUCCCGCGCUGAAUACGUCCCUGCCCUUUGUACACACCGCCCGUCGCUCCUACCGAUUGAGUGGUCCGGUGAGGCUUUGGGAUCUGAGCGGAAAGAGCGUUUCGCUGUUUCUGCCCGGAAAACUCAGUCGAACCUUAUCAUUUAGAGGAAGGAGAAGUCGUAACAA